rnacentral:rRNA from 1 species
GCAGCCGCCACGGGAAUACGAAGGGGGCUAGCGUUGUUCGGAUUUACUGGGCGUAAAGCGCACGUAGGCGGAUCCUUAAGUCAGAGGUGAAAUCCCAAGGCUCAACCUUGGAACUGCCUUUGAUACUGGGGAUCUCGAGUUCGGGAGAGGUGAGUGGAACUGCGAGUGUAGAGGUGAAAUUCGUAGAUAUUCGCAAGAACACCAGUGGCGAAGGCGGCUCACUGGCCCGAUACUGACGCUGAGGAGCGAAAGCGUGGGGAGCGAACAGGAUUAGAGACCCCAGUAGUCCCUGUCUCUUAUAC